AUUCAGUCACAUAGCAACAAAUGUUAGAGGUAGUGUUGCAAAUAAUUGUCUCAAGUGUCCUACAAAUGUUGUUAUGUGUCAUGGAGGACAAAGACCUGCAACAGAAUGUGUUGGACAACACAAUGUAUGACAUUUCCAAAAAAAUCUCCUAACAAAAUGAUUUAUGGAAAAUCAAUGGACUACAAUAAGCAAGUUGAGUGGUUGUUUAUUUCAAUGUUGGGCUUAGUAUAUUAGUUAUAUCCAAAUAAAAAAUAAUUUUGUGAGAAAUUUAUGCAGUUUUUUUUCUUCUGAAAUAUACGUAGUUUUUUAUUCUUUUGAAAUAAAAUUCAAUAUCACUAUUUUUAUUUUUAUUUCGAUGUGUUUUUAAAAUUUAUAUUAUUUGUUGAAUCAUACUUAGUUUGAUGUAUUGCAAGAAAUAAAUUAAAUAGUUCUAACUCAUCAAAAUUAAAAGGGUAAAUAUGAUACUUAUAUCAACCUAGUAAUCUAUUUUAUGUAUAUUUCAUAGUCACUGAUUUAUCAAAAUAUUGAGUAAGUUAAUUUUUUACUUAGUCUUAGUUAAAAGAUCAUAUAUUAUUAUGUUAAGUGAUACAUUGACACAAAUCUUACUACUUAAAUGGAUAGAUAUAAGUGACAACAAAUUUUCAGGCGUUAUAAGAAGAGACGUUUUAUCCUUAAAAAAUGUUGUUCAUCUUAAUGUUUCUUUCAACAGAUUUGCAACAUUGGAUGUUGUUGAUUAUUCUGGACAAGGACAACAACUUAAAUUACUUGAGGCACAAGGUAACCAUUUGAAGGGUCGUUUACCAGUGAAUUUGGUGAGUUUUACAAAUUUGACUAUAUUAAAUUUAUCAAACAAUGAGUUUCAUGGUAUCAUUCCAAAGGAAUAUGGAAUGAAACUAAGAACAACAUGGAGAAGAUUGUAUUUGGAUCACAAUUUUCUUAUGGGGAAUCUUCCAUUGGAAUUCAGUCACAUAGCAACAAAUGUUAGAGGUAGUGUUGCAAAUAAUUGUCUCAAGUGUCCUACAAAUGUUGUUAUGUGUCAUGGAGGACAAAGACCUGCAACAGAAUGUGUUGGACAACACAAUGUAUGACAUUUCCAAAAAAAUCUCCUAACAAAAUGAUUUAUGGAAAAUCAAUGGACUACAAUAAGCAAGUUGAGUGGUUGUUUAUUUCAAUGUUGG
rnacentral:lncRNA from 1 species